UUUAAGCGCAAUAAUAAGUUUUCGUGUCCAACUUUAAUCGUUCAUCUUAUUUGAAGUUUUUAUAAUUAGUAUUUUUAUUGUUAGGAGAUGAUAAAACAUGAAUAGAACUUUAUGCGUGACUUAUGUUUUUAAACUAUUCUAAAAAAAUAAAUAAGACGGAUAAUUAAAGUUGGACACGGAAAAUCAUGACUGCACUUAAA
rfam:Oryza sativa Japonica Group DNA, chromosome 4, cultivar: Nipponbare, complete sequence.